UAAGUUUACAAUAAUGACUGCAAGUCGCGGGAAAGUGGUCUAUCCUCUUGCAUUUUCAAAAGAACGGAAAUAUUUUUGUGAACUAUGUCAGAGGGAAGCUCAUCUUCAAUGUAAAAAGUGCAAAUUCGCAUUUUAUUGCUGUAGCGAACACUUGGAGGCUGAUUUUAAUGGAGUUCAUGAAAAAAUGUGCGAUAAAAUUGAGCAAGUUCGGUCUCCGGUACCAUUUUUCAUAAUGGAGCGUGAACGAAUGGAAUAUAAAAAUAAAAUAAUUGAAUUAAAGGUAAAAUCUAAGAUUCACUUGGUCAGCAAAACAUGUUACAGAUGUGUAUGAAAGAGGCACAAAAAUACAUUUUUGAAAAAAAAUAUAACGAGGCGACGGCUGCUGCAAUCCAAGCUUUGAAAUUAGAUGUCGACCUUAAUGGAAUGGAGAGCAUUGGGUUGAUUUCUUCUUACCUAAUUCUCAGUGAAGCAAGCAUAGGUCAGACAUAGCUUUUAAUUUUAAGGUUUAAAAAAGAUGGCGCAGAUAGAAAAUUAUUUGUCGCAAGCUAAAUGGAUUGUUAUGAAAAACAGCAAUACUCCGAAUCUCCUCAAAUCGAAAAUGUUUAGAAAUUUUGGUCUUUUUUAUUUGGAAAAAAAGAAAUAUGAAAACGCAUUGACAGCCUUCUCGAAAGACAUUUUUUAUGCUUCUUUGGAUUCUCAUCAAAAUAGCAUUUUGACCAUUGGGGGAUACUUUAAUCUUGCACGCGUAUUCGAAGCAAAAAAACAAUUGGAUGUAUCGGCUUCGAUAUACCACAAAGUUUUACAAUUUAUAUUUUUUCUGGUUGUAUAUAUAUUACACACUCGAUUCGAUGAACUAUAUUCGACUUGGUACGAAGAAGAAAUAAGAAUUCAAAAAAUAAACGUCGCAGCAAAACUAGAUGUCAACAAAAUAAUAAAAAUAGGCAAAUAAAAACUUUAAUAUUUUUAGAUAAAAACGAGUCAGUUGAGUCAGAGGUAAUUCUGACAAGUAUUUUAAAUUUUUUCAAUGAAAUAAAUGGU